UCCUACUUGACAGAGUAUUUAUAUACAUGA
rnacentral:piRNA from 1 species